rnacentral:lncRNA from 1 species
UAUAUAUAUAUAUGAACUAGGCUGGAAUACUAUUAAUAGCACCAAUGGUUUGGUGUUAUUAAGUUUUCUGUCAUUGGAUUAAAAAAUAUGUGAUUAGGAUGAUGUGGGUUCCCUAGGGUUGAAUAAGUGGUUGGUUGAAUUGCAUAAUCUAACGGGUAAAAUUAAUCAAAGGAUUAAUUCUAAUGGUGAAAAACUCGAUAGCACCAAAUUUUUAGUGCUAUCGAUAGUACCCCAGCCAGUAUAUAUAUAUAUAUAUAUAGAGUUGAGCUGGAAUGCUAUCGAUAGCAAACGAAUUUUUUUGCCACCCAUUUGUUUUCGAUGAUGGAGCCUUCAAAUCGACGAUCGGCACUGUUGAACAUGAUCUAUACUACUUGAAAUAUCUAGAACCAAAUUUCAAAUCUUUUCGACAUCAUUGACCUAAUGAUCAAAGGGUUUCAAAAUUUGUAAUUUUAAUAGUAGAUAUGAAGUGUUUUCUCAUUUAACGGUGUAAAGCUAUCCAAAUCAAUUGAAUUUUGGUCAGAAAAUUUUUUAAACUAUUUAGAACAAGAUCUAUACUCUCGAUCUUGAUUACAAAAUUCCUAUCAUUACUUUUUAGAGGAUAUUCAUUUUCAGUCGUUUAUUUUUACGUCCACUUGAUAGGCUCAUAGAACAAUAUCGAAAAAGUAUGAAAUUUGAUUUCUAGAUACUUCAAGUGGUAUAGAUCAUGU